GCCUGGCUGGCUCAGUCGGUAGGGCAUGUGACUCUUGAUCUCGGGGUUGUGAGUUUGAGCCCCACCUUGGGUG
rnacentral:tRNA from 1 species